rnacentral:lncRNA from 1 species
CUCUUCUGACUUUCUCUGUGGUCCAGUUGCUCAGAUACUCGGGUAAGACUUUGCCCAUAUUGCCAUUCUCUGGGAACAGCUGAAUCACCUCCAGGUUUCUGGUUUGUGCUCUUCUUCCCAGAGCACAGGCCAGCUCACUGCCAAGAAAACCACCACCAAUAAUUGUGAUGGACUUGACUUGUCUUGAAAUCUUCUCCAGAUUUUUGAAGUCCUCAAUCUUUCGGAACAGCGUCAGCCGUUGUUGUACUUCUUUUCCUGCCCUCUCGAUGGCAGGCAGGUUCCUUGGGGAGCCACCAGUUGCAAUUAGGCAUUUAUCAUAGGAUAUCUGGGUACCAUCAUUGAGUUUCACAGUGUUG